ensembl:lncRNA
GGAACAUCGGGCUUUUUAUGAGCAUUCAGUUCAAAAGCCUGCUUCUCAGAUGUUAUGGGCGUGCUUUAGUGCCUAUGGAAUGGGCAGCUCGCACAUCUGGAAAGGCACUAUCAAUGCUGAAAGGUAUAGAGGUUUUAGAGCAACAUAUGCUUCCAUCCAGAUUCCAUAUCAUCUUUACUUCUGAAAGACUCUGCCUCUCUAAGAUCCACUUUUUAUACCCAAUCAUGUUACUGACCUGUUCCCAGUUAACCUAAUUAGUUGCAAAAUGUUCUUCCAACUGUUUCUUUUUAGUAACACUUACUUUUCAAGCCUUUUUUUGCCCCGUCCCAGCUUUUUUUCAGACGUGUUGCGGCCAUCAAUUUCAAAAUGACCUUAUUUUUUCCUUAAAAUGGUAUAUUUCCUCAGUUUAAACAUUUGAUAUAAUUUUCUGUGUUCUAUUAUGAAUAACGGAUUCAUGAGAUUUGCAAAUCAUUACAUUGUUUUUUUAUUUACAUUUUACACAACAUCCCAACUUUUUUGGAAUUGGGGUUGUAAUUGCUUAAUUCCUCAAAUAAGUUCUUUUAUUUCUUCAUUUUUUUUCCCCCAAGACGUCUGAUACCCUAGAGCACCCUUUUCUGUUUAAGUUUUUAGAAAUCUUUAACUUUGGUCCCAUGUUUCGUAGUGUCAUUUCCAUGUUCUGUAAUGAUAUUUUUAGUAGUGUUUCCCUGAACCUGGGUCUAUCACCCAGAAUUCAGAUUAAAUGAGGAAUAGCCAAGGAUGCCCUAUUUCACCAUUACUGUUUAAUCUAGGAGUUGAAUUAAUGUCUUUAUUUAUCCAUCCAUCUUCUACCACUUACUCCUUCUUCAGGGUCGUGGGAAAACCUGGAGCCAAUCCCAGGGAUUGGCCACAGACACCUUAGACAUGCCAAUCAGCCUACCAUGCAUGUCUUUGGACUGGGGGAGGAAACCGGAGUACCCGGAGGACACGGGGAGAACAUGCAAACUCCGCAUGUGGCCCCGUGGCCACACGUGGCCCCGGCAGGAAUCGAACCCCAGACCCUGGAGGUUUGAGGCGAACGUGCUAACCACUAAGCCACCGUGCACCCCCGGUCGGAUAAUAUAGGCAUUGGUAGGACUUUCUCCAGAAGUCAGUCUGCAGAUGGCACUCUCUUAAUUCUUAAUAACAAAAGAGCUGCUUCUAUCAGUUACUGAUAAAAUUGCCAUUUUUUCAAAGGCUUCAGGUCUGACCCUAAAC